rfam:Otolemur garnettii contig161732, whole genome shotgun sequence.
UUGGAAAUGUCUUUAAAAAACAACUACCCAGAAUGAUACAGAGAAGAUUAGCAUGGCCCCUGUGCCAGGAUGACAUGCAAAUUUGUGAAGCGUUCUGUAUUUUU